GUGAGGGAGUAAAGGAUUGUGUGUUUGGUUUUUUUAGAUGUUUACCUGCCAGAAAUAAAGAUUGGGGUCUCGUAGCUUCACAUCAGUUCCCAAGAUUAUUUUUUAAGCUCCCAGUUCAUAAUCCCCACAUCUGGGAGCCCCUGCUUUAGUCCAAACCCUGAUUUUUUCUUAACAAUUGAAUAAAAAAAAAAUGAGGCUCAGAAAGAGUGAUUUUCCCAGUGUUUAGGCACAAAGACUCAUUCUACUACUUCAGUACGACCCCGAUGUGGCAGGUGAUCCAGUUUUACAAGGACACUUUUCUACUGACCCCAUAAAUUCUCGGAUCUGCUCCAGAAUCAACAUUGCUCUUUGUUUAUUUAAAUCCUGGUACAAAAGCCCUUCUCUUCAGACCAUAAAGCUGCCUUACAUGCUUUCCAAAGCAUGUUCCUUCCCGUGGUCCUCAACAUACACCUGUGAGGGGGUGGGAGUGGCUCUUUGCCCCUAAGCAGUUAGGAACGUGUGUCUCACACACAUACACACAUGCACACAGCCCGCUGGCCUCUCCAGCUCCAAGGAGGGUCAGGCUGGGACGUGCAGGGAGCCCCCAGACCGCAGCCUCGGCCGGAGUGGCCUUUGUCUGCUUCCCGCCAGUUCCUUCCUAGGAGCAGCACACGCAUCCUAUUCUCCAGCUGCCUGCCAGAGCCGGCCCCAAAUGCGCAUCUUUACGAGGUCUCCUUCGGAAGAGAGACACUUCGGCAUGUGCGGCCGACCGGUCUCCUCUGUGUGGCAUGUCAGCUGCCUCUCCAGUGCCAAGUCCCAGCGUGACGGCCUUCAGGUCUUUCCCCACUCAGCCAUCCCUAGGACCUUGGGGUCCCCACAUGUCUCCUGGGCCAGGAUGCCCUUUACAGUCACCCACGCCGUCUUUGGCCCCCUCUGGAGGUUCCCCCAACCUGUCCUCGUCGUUGCCUGGAGCCUUUACUGGAUGUCCACGGCUCAGCCCAGCAGAGGCUGGUGCACCUGCAGGGAGACUUGGACGCCCAGCUUUCAGGUGAGUCCCAGCCCCUUCUCUGCCUCCCACCAUGUUUCUCUGGCAAGUCUCAUAAGUACCUCUCCGCUUCGGUGUCCUCCUCUCUCUAACGGGAACAAAAAGGGC
rnacentral:lncRNA from 12 species